UUACAUGUAAAAUGAUACUAAAAUGUUGCUUACAAAUGUUACAUGUUAAAUGUUACUAACAAAUGUAGCAUGUUAAGUUACAUGUAAAAUAUAACUUACAAAUAUUACAUGGUAAAUGUUACAUGUAAAAUAUAACUUACAAAUAUUACAUGGUAAAUGUUACUUACAAAUGUUACAUGUAAAAUGCUAUUAAUAAAUGUAACAUGUAAAAUUUUACUGACAAAUGAAUGCUACAUGUAAAAUUUUACUCACAAAUGCUACAAGUAAGAUAUUACUAACAAAUGCUACAAGUUAAAUGAUAUUUACUAUUUAUACACAUAAAAUAUGUGCUAGGUGAAUGUGCAAUGUUUCUGUAGAUGUAAAAUUUAUAGUUGUUUAAAUAAUUUGAUAUGUAGUUGUAUGAUUAUUUGAAGAUAAACAAUAAGAUAGUUGUUGUUAGUUAAACUUGUUGUUGAUGACAUUUUGUUAGCAUUGAUUAAUUACCUUCUAAUUUUCCAAUUGCUUAAUUGUGCUUUAACUUAGGUUUUUUUUUGUAUAAAUGAUUUUCUAAUUCAAAGUAAAAAUUAUAGAUUUAUUUAUUUUUAAAUUGGAGUGUUUUCUGUGAAAUGAAUAAUGUAUUUGGAAUUUGAAUCAAUAUUUUAUUUUCAAGAAGUUAUAAUUACAUUAGAUGUAUGUUUCAUUAUAAUACAAUAUUCUGAUUGGCUAACUGCACAUCACUUGUUAUUCCUUAAGCAAUUGCAUAACACAAUAAAACUUAUCAUUCGUGAAAGCAUGUGUUCCCACAAUAAAGUGCACAGGUGAAUUAAAUAAGAAAUUGAUAAAAUUUGUGUUUUCAUGAUUCUAGCUAAAAAAUGUAAUUAUAAGUAUUGAAUGCUUCUUUUUGUAACUUCAUAGGGUUGUAAAAGUGUUGACCGUGCACACAUUUUUGGAAUGAAGCGUGGAAAAAUGUACUUUGGUCAACGCUUUUACACCCCAAUGAAGUUACAAAAAGAAGCAUUCAAUUCUUAAAUAAAAGAAACUGACAGGAUAGAACAGCAGAAACAUAGAAUUCAAUAUCGAUUAUAUAAAUGGAAACAAUUUAACAGAUCCAAUUAUUUAAACAGCUUUUAGAAAAUUACAUAGUUUUUCAGUAGGAGAUUUAAAAUGAAUUUGGAAUAAGUUUAUAUCUAUAUCUAACUUAAACUUAUUUGGCGUUGAACAGUUCUAUUUAGAUAACAAUUAUAUACACACAGUUCUAUUUUUGACAAAUUAAAAUAAAAUGUUGUUUAAUCUCCAAAACUCUCAUAUUUCUACCUAUUCAAAGUUAAAAUUGUUUUUUGGUAUUUUUUAAAUGACCAACUUCAUUAUUUGAUUUAAGUGUGCCAGUUAGUUAACAGUGACACAUUAAAAAUGUUUAUAUCAUUGAAAAAGCUCCAAAUUAUCUCCCUUUGGUGAAAAAAAUGCCAUUUUCUGGCAUUAAAUUUGAAAUAUCUUUUUUAAUUCAUUGGUGACCUAUAUAUUUUAUUAUUGUUUUCAUUUAAGCUGUACAUAAACUAAAUAAUUGUAAAAUUUAAGCGAUUUCUGUAAUUAGGUUAUUUUUUUAUUUCGAUAUUACCUCUUUUUCUCCUAUUAGUUCAACAGAAAAAAAGGACAUUAACAAAAAUGUAUGCUUCUUCUGCAGGCAGAUUGUGAGCUUAAAUGAACGGUGACCCCAUUUUUUUAUUUCAUUUUUUUUUUAAGUAUAUGAUAAAGUUCAUUUAUAAAAAAAAUAUAGCGAAAUCCUAUAUUAGAAAAAAAAAUGAUUUAUACCCAGGAGCACCCUUAAUACCCAUUACUUAUUUAUAUCUUCUAUAAAUACAGUUUAAUUCAUUCUUCUUAUUACCAAUGUUAUUUUAACUGAUUAGGCAGAGGUUAUUUUUUAAUUUGCAUAAGGACAGUCUACUUGAAGAUGUGUGUGAUAAGAAUGAUUGCUAUUAUAAUUAAUAUUGAAUUCUUAUCACCUAUCAGUGUCGCUAAAUGCCUAUACAAAAGAACUGAGUGUAUGAUUUGGGGCAAGUAACUGGACACUUCAUGGAUGAGUUUAUCCAAAAACUCCUGUCUAUAGAUGGACUGCUCUUUAAUAAGCGAACUUCUUAAAUUCUGACCGGUCAAGUGAAAUAAAUCUAGUAAUACACCAUAUAUUGUCUCUAAUUUAACUUUGUAAAAGUUGGUUUCUUAUAUGUUUAAUGACACCAAACACUUAUUUAUUAGUUCUAUAAAUACAGUUUUUUACAUUUUGUAACAUUUGACAUUGCUUGAAGGCAAUUUUAUAAAAGUUGGUCUUUAACAUGUUUUAUGACAAAUAUGACAAAUAUAGAUUUUUACCAGAAUCUUGUGUAAUCCAAACAAUGUUAUAUCCAGGAUAACAAAAUUAUUUAUUUAUGUUAGACAUCUAAUUUAGUUUGUAUUAUUUGCAUAUAAGAUGUGUUUACAAAUGGGGCAAAUGCUACCAAAUUUGUAAGAACUUUUUGUUAUAAACUGAACAAAUUUAUUACAUUGUUUAUUGCUUUAAGAAGGAACUGCAAACUGGACAAAAUUUCUUUUAGAAUUCUUUUUCAAAAAAUGUGCAGGAAUAAUACCAAAAAGUUUUGUGUCACAUUCAAAAAUGGGUAAGUGUUCUCAGUCUUCAUCAAUCAUUGCAGUUACAUGUACUGAAAUUCAAACAUUAAAUGGGGAACUAUUUGAAUUAAACCCCACUGUGAACAUAUUACCCUGUUUUGCUUUUUAUUUAUCAAUUUUCCUAUGAGAAGGUGAUUUAUAUCAUUUCUCUCUGCUAAGAUUUUUAUCAAUUCUCCUGUAAGAAGGUGAUUUUAAUCAUUUCUCUCUUCUGAGAUUUUUAUCAAUUCUCCUGUGAGAAGGAGAUUUUAAUCAAUUCUCUCUGUUAAGAGAUUUUUAUGGAUUCUCCUGUGAGAAGGAGAUUUUGGAACCAAAAGACAUUUUUAUAAAUACACUUUUUUCUUUGAAAAAUGUCUCAACUAUCUCAGGAAUUCUUUUUUCUUUGUUUACUUCUUUGUUUACAGUUGUUCUUUUAUUUUUUCUGAUUGAUUUUCUCAUUAUCAUUGUUGUUAAUAUUAUAUAUAUGUAUCUAUGCAUGCCUAUUUUAUAUAACUAAUAUAUUCUUUAACUAGUCAGCCUCAAUUGUUUAUCAAUAUGUUUGAUAUUAAUCUUUGCUGCAUUAUUUUUUCCUCGCAUGAUGGCAUUGUUAUUUUUAUAUUCUUUUUAAUAUUUUAAUUUUAAUAUUUAAUGCAUAUUAAUAUCAUCCUUUAACAGCCAGUUGUUGGCUGGUGUUUGUCAUCACCCAUAGUUGCUGUCGAAGGCACUGUUCAUAAGUUAACAAACUUUUUCUUUAACUGAGGUCUUCUGUGUUUGUUUUCUAAUUUGUUUUCUUAUUUUAUUUAAUACUUUCUUUACUGCAAUAUUCCAGACAAAAGCCCGAAAGAAAUGCUGAAACUUAUGGCUUCUCAUUCCUGUUAAACAAAAAUUUAUCUCAAAAGUGAUUUUUUAUUAGAAUUUGGGGAAGUGUUUGUUUCAUUAUUUUUUCUUUAGAAAUAAACAUGUUGUAAACAUAUAUGUGUUAUAUUGACAGUAUAUAAAAUUAAUCAAAAGUAUAUGUAAUCCCAUUGAAUGUAAGUGUUUUAAGUUAGUGAGUCACACAGACUCAAUUCAACAUACACUAUUUUUAUCAUGAUUUGUACUUUCAAGUACUGGAAAAAGAUAUUUCUUCCAAAUACAGGUCAAUACCAUUUCUUUUCUUCAAAUCAUGAAUUGUACUGUAAAUGUGUAUCUGAAAUAACCUCAUUUUAUUGGUGCAAUAGAAUUGAAACGUGCCAUCUUGUGUUAAAUUUAUCUGAUCAUAAAUGCCUUUUUCAAUUGGUUCUUGGUUAAAUUAUUAUUUUUACUGAAAUAGUUUUUGGUUUAAAUAAUAAACAGAUAUUGAUCUUGAUCAUGCUUACGAUUCUAUUUAGCACUGGAUAAAGAUUGCGAUAGUUAGAUUUGACAAAAUUUAGGAAUUUUGUGUUUCAUAACAUAUAGGCAGGACCUAUUUCUGGAUGUCAGAAUCAGGUGUUUUAAGCUUGGGAUGGAUUGAUAGAUUGAUACUUUUGGGAUCCUGGAAUUCUUUUUUUUUUUAAUUUCCGGAUGUUUGAUUUAAAUUUCUUAAAACUUGGGACAUCAGAAUUUCAAGUUUUUUUGCUUGGGAUUUCGGGAUUGGAAGCCCUCGACCCCCCCCCCUUUUUUUUAGUGGACUCCUAAAGCAUGACAAUUGACAAUCAACUAAAAUGCAUUCACAGUGGUAAAGAUACUGUUAUUUUAUUGAUGAGCACGUCAUUCUGUUUCAUAUUUUCAUAAAAACGUGAAAUAUUUGAUGUACAGUAAGCAAUUAAACAGGUAAAGUUUUACUUUUAAAUGAAACAUUUUGAUUCUUAUCAAACAACAAAUUGAGAAAAAGUUUUACUCUUUAAACUGUAAAUUUUCUAGUAUUUUAUGGAG
rnacentral:lncRNA from 1 species